rnacentral:rRNA from 1 species
GAGUUUGAUUAUGGCUCAGGACAAACGCUGGCGGCGUGCUUAACACAUGCAAGUCGAACGAUGAAACGGAACGGAAAUUUUCGGAUGGAAGUUCUGUGGAUUAGUGGCGGACGGGUGAGUAAUGCAUGAAGAACCUGCCUUUCACAUAGGAAUAGCCUCGGGAAACCGGGAUUAAUACCAAAUGACACUCCGAGAUCGCAUGUUUUUGGGGUUAAAGAUUUUAUCGGUGAAAGAUGGCUUCAUGUCCCAUUAGCUGGUUGGUGAGGUAACGGCUCACCAAGGCGACGAUGGGUAGCCGGCCUGAGAGGGUGAACGGCCACAUUGGAACUGAGACACGGUCCAAACUCCUACGGGAGGCAGCAGUGGGGAAUAUUGCACAAUGGAGGAAACUCUGAUGCAGCGACGCCGCGUGAGCGAUGAAGGUCUUCGGAUCGUAAAGCUCUGUCCUAAGGGACGAUAA